ensembl:lncRNA
UUGAUAUAUAAAACCCCAUUGAAUCAACGUGAUUUGGGUUACGUUACAUUUUAAACUUUUUUAGAGAUUUCGUAUAUGAUCAGAAAAUGUAUUAAUCUCCCGGCGUGGUCACUGUGCGCUGUUAUAGUUGGCGUAAUAGUGUAUGUUGUCAUGACAUAAUAUAUGAGCCUAUGACGCAAACGCAGUCAACAAAUUAUUAAAUUGAUUGGCUCAGUUGAGUUGAUAGUUUGCAUAGGACAGUCAUCCUCAUGUUCAAAGACAUUACUUUGCCUGGACAAGAUAAUUCUGUGUAACUGUCCAAUCUGAAGGAUGUCUUAAAAUAAAAUGAGUAAAAGUCAUAAACGGUUGAGGAGAGUUCGUCUAAAGAACUUUGUGCCGAAGCCCCCACAAGGCCCCAGGCUGAGCAAUCAGGCAAUGAUGGCCAAGGUUGAAAAGAAUGCCAGAGAGGCCAUUGAGCCCAGAAGGGCUAGGGAGGCCAUUGAGCCCAGAAGGGCUAGGGAGGCCAAUGCAGAGGCAAAAAAAACAAGCCGCCAAGUCAUUGGUGCGUUGGCGCUGCCUCCACCUCUUCUAUCUCCGACAACCAGUUACAGUGUCCUGCCAGCUAUCAAGAAGGGCACUAAAGUGACGAAGGUGGAGACAACAGAGCCACCAGACCCCCUGACACCUGAGGAUGAGGUGAGAAUGAACUCCUCUCCAUCUGUUGAUGACCCCCUGACCCCAGAAACCCCAGAGACUGAUGUCACCUCCGAUGCCACUUCUCUGGCGGACCCACCCCGUGAGAUGACACCUGAGAAUGUAGAGGAGGCCUUCUCUCUGGAGGACUUCCUGAAGUCUCACCCUCAGUGGAAGCUCAUCAGGAAGUUCCUCAAACAAAAGAAUGUGACCAUAAAAGACCUGGAGGACAUGUCCUAUGUGGUCCUCCUGCCAGCAAUGGCUCUGCUCAGGAGCUACAGUCCAGAGUCAUCCCACUCCUCCUGCCGAGGGUCAGGGGUGCUGAAGAUCGUCUCGGAGAUGUUCCACUGGCGGAGCUCUGAGCCGAAGGGGAGGCUCUGGGGCGGGCAGCCCCCCACGUCCAAUUCUGAGACAGACAAGGAGCUUCAGGGUAUAGCAGACAUGGCUGUGAGUAACAUCCUGAGGAAUGCCCAGGACGACUUCUUCUCCUCUGGUGUGAAUGACCUGGAGAUGACCAAUCCAAACAUCACUCUGACCAAAGAGAGGCUCUCCAGCAUCUUCUCAGAGCUGUUCAGGGAUGCCUGUGAGAGUGCCCAGGAGGCUGCCAGACGGAUCCACCACAUGAGGUCUGGAAGAGGUAACAACAGCCGGAAUGGGAGUCGGCCUGGGUCGUCACAGGGAUCGAGCAGAUCCAACAUGCCAGAGUUGCCGUUAAACCUCUGUCAGCUGGCAGAGUGUGUGGAUGCUCAGCCACUAUAUCUGGAACAUCCAAGUGUGUCCUGCUCCAACCGAAGUGGCCUGCACCCCAUUCCAGAGCAGGGCUGGAUGGAGGAGCAUAUUGGCUCAGCCCUAGGUCAGUUGUCCACCAUUGAGGCAGACAUGGGCGAGUUAGAAAACUUCACCAGACCUCUGCCACUGGAAAAUGGAGACGACAGCUCAUCCAACAUGUUGUCAGGGCCAUCCACUGCCUCAUAUCCAUCCACCUGCCUGUCUUCUCCAGAUGUGACCUCAGAGGGAAGGGCCCACUACACCAUUAUGGCCCUGGAAACCCUCCAGGAGGGGGAGGACAACAGCUGGAGUCGCUCUGGGUCAUCACAGAGAUCAAGACGGUUCAACCUCUGUCAUCAGGCAGAGGAGCUGGAGAGGGUUUACCUCCAGAGAGACACACUCCACUCCAGGGUCAGUGUGGGAGAACUGGGGUCAGUGAGGUGGGCCAAGGGAAGGGAUGUCCAUAAAGCCCUCAGCGAGGGGUCCCUCCCUGUCUUUGCCCUGCUCAGGGAGAGGCCAGGGGAGAUUUGGCCGACAAGCACUUGGGACAUGGCGCACAACCAGCCUCCCAGCACUCCCACAUCCAGCAAGGAGGAUUUGUGGGACAGUGACUCCACCUGGUCUCAUGGGGUUGGGGAGGAGGAGGGGGCAGAGCCUCGUGUGAGGUUGGCAGCUAUGUCAGAGGGGGGCAGCUCCCAGAUCCUGACCUCCCAGACCUCCACCUCACUCUCCAAUCACGACAAGAGGGCACUAGAGGCCAUCUGCCAGGUCCUGACUGCCUGGAUGGAACAGAUGCUGAACCGGACCUGCAACAACAUUUACAGUGCCAGUGUCAUCAUCCAGAAAGGAUUGGAUUCUGGUGCCAGGGACAGUUUCCCUGACACUCCGUGUCCUUCUUCAUCAGAGGAAGAAGAUGAGGUGGUCGCGAGUGUCAUGACUUUCUUACACUCUGAGCCCUCCACCUCAACCAAGGCAGCACAGGCAGCUCCUGCAAAGACCCUGGCGGUCAACCCCUGUCUGGAUGAAGAUGAGGUAGUCCCCAGCACCUCCAUGAUUGAGGGCUCCCUAACGACCACUCAGGCAGCAUGGGCAGCUUCUGCACAGAUCUUGGAAGAAGAGGUUGGGGGAGCUGAUGUCUCUGAGGUGAGUAUCGGCUCCCUGACCCCCACCGAGGCCAGGCAGGACCUCCUGGAGAAGAUUCCCUCUCUCCUGCCGGGUGAGAUCCUCAUCGAAGAAGACAUCCCCCUUCUCAGCACUCCCAGGGACACUGUUAUGAGCCCCCAGACCCUGAAGCUCAUCCUCCAGGGCAUCAUGCGCCGACUGGAGGCCUCAGAGUCCCCCCGGGCUAGGAGGGCCAAUGACCCCUUCAGGCUGAUGAAGGAUCUCUUUCUGGAGGUCCAGCAUGCCCUUAAGUAUGCUGACAUCUCUGUCCUCUUCAGCCUGGAGGAGAGCAUUCAAUUCAGGGGGGAAGAUGCAAUGAAGGCCAUCGUUAAGGCUGCGGCUAAAAGGUUGUCCCUGCGCUCGGACUCCAACCGGGCUCAACUGCGUGCCGUACGCUAUGGUGGCGAGGGAGCCAUCUAUUGCAUGGCAGACACCAUCGCAAAUGUCAUAGACGUCCACGCCCAGGACUGGAGUUCUGACAGACAUUUUGGAGCAAGUAGGAGCCGUGGUAGGGGGAGGUCACGCUCCUCCUCAAGCUCCUCAAAGAGUGACAUCACCCUCACAGAGGAACUCUUGGCCCAGGGGGAAAGCCUGGAAGAGGACCAAGAGGAUAUGGCUGCGAUCGACGACAACAAGAAAUGUGACUCUGCUAGCUUGGAGAAGGCCAGCAGCAGCUCCCUCUCCAUAGACCUUGUGGACAGCACCUCCACACAGACAGGGAAGGACGAGGCAGUGAAGGAAGGAGUGGGGAAGUCAGGAGAUUGGAAGCGUGGUUGCAAGAAGACCCUGAAGAAGAACAAGAUGGCUCCCUUUGGCACUGAUGAUACCGUGGCUGAUGAGCCGGAAAAAAAACAGUGUCUCCUCCUGCGGAUUACAGCUGCCCUGGCAAACUUAUUUUGCUUCCCCUGCAAAAAGAGAAGUGGUAAAAAGUUCAAGCCAUGAUGAAUCCCUCCAUAGCCCAGCCCAGACCUAUUUAAUUAAAUAAACAU